rnacentral:tRNA from 1 species
GCCUUGGUAGGACAAUGGUUAAGUAUUCAGCUGCUAACUGAAAGGCUGGUGGUUCCAACCCACCCAGGGCU